rnacentral:rRNA from 1 species
AAGAACGAAAGUUAGGGGAUCGAAGACGAUCAGAUACCGUCGUAGUCUUAACCAUAAACGAUGCCGACCAGCGAUUAGGAGACGUUGAAUACAAAACACCGCCGUUAAUCCUUUCGGGGGUUAAUGGUUGGUGAAUGACUCCCCUAGCAGCUUGUGAG